ensembl:lncRNA
CCGCGGGGGCUGGGGCCUUCGGGGAGCAGUUGGCGGCCGGGCUCCUCGUGGGACGCGGGGUUUGGGGUUGGUUCGGAGGGGUUUGGUUGCUGUUUGGCUUUUUCCGACGGUUCCGUCUCGGCCGGGAGCGGCUGGGCUUGGCGGUGCCGCUCCCGUUGCUGCGCGGUCUGAGCGCGGGCGGUCGAGUCGCGGCUGCCGGCGGCGGCUGCCCCGGCGCCCUCACAGCGCUCCUCACAGCGCGGAGCUGCGUCACGCGGCGGAGGGGCCCUCAGCCCGCUGCACCCCCGGGCGCUGCGCCAGCGCCUCAGUGCCGUCCGGAAGGACGGGAUGGAGCUCUGGGGGCAGCAGCUGUCAUCCGAUGGUGGGGAAGGUGUAGGAAAAGGGCUCCUCAGGUCAACUCGGAAGCCGGAGAAGAAAGGAAAACGCCUGCGCUCGGUCCGCGUUCCCCCGGCGGAGCGGGUCGGCACCUCGCCGCUCUUCGCUGCUGCCACAUGUACAGCUCCUCACCUCGAGACGUCUUCCCGGGCGUCUGGCUUCGCCUCUGCCUCACAGACAGCGCUGCGUGUGGCGUAAAUAGGCCGUUGUAUUGCACGGUGACCUUUGCAGGAAAGUUAAGUUAGCUGAAGGAAUUUAUACCGUCCCGGGAGAAGGAUUCUUCUACCUUUGAUUUCGGCUGAUGAGGACAUGGCAGGAGGGUGUUCACAAAAAUAAGCAUCCGUAUAACCAAGCGUGAGGGCUGCUCCAAAAGUAAUGCCUCCUGAUUUUGAUUCUGUGAUUCUGUUUUGUUUUGUUGGCCCACAGCAUCCGAGGUGGAUGUUGUUGGUAUGGCAGUGGAGGCUGAACCUUCCCACCAACAUCUGUUACGUGAUGUUGCCGUGUGACGGAUGGCAGCAGAGGGGCAGUCUGACAAAGUGGCAUCCGACAUGGGAGUCCAUAUGAAGCAAAGGACCUCUGCAUCAUCACAGAACAAAUCUGCGGCUUCACAGACACAUCUUGAGUAAUCCUGACUGAGUUGUUUGGGGAGAAAGCUGAAAUGCUUGUAGUUUGUCCACGUUGUGAAGAGCUCCUGAGGAAUGUCGGAAGAAAACUGUCCUAAUGGCUGUCUGUUGUGGGUGACCCAGUUGAACAAACAAUUGGAUGGAUGGCUGCUCCUAGCUGAAGGGCUCUCACAGGGGAGCAGGAAUGGCACUCUGCAUUGGCUGCUGGGGCUUCUGCUCCCAGCCCUCAUCGGUCCGUUCUUGAAUCAUUAUGAUUUGCAGAGCAUCAUUUGAAAGGAAUCUGAAAUAGGUUUUCACACGUUGAUCACAUCCCCAAGAGCUUUGUAUGUCUCUGCAUCAGUUGGGUGUUUUUAAAAAACACAGAAGCUCCACAGGUCUGUCACCCCACCCUGCAAUAAGAGCAGUCGAAAGCCAAUGAAGAGUGCAUCUCUUCUUGCUGUAACGGUACUGUCCUAAAAUAGGCCCUGGUGUUCCAGUGCGCAGAAGGUGAAGGAUGGCAUAUAAACAAUUGCUUGUUUACUUUUCCCACACUUGGGAACUGGAGUAAAUUCAGCUCAGAGAUUCCACAGAAACACUUCCGAAUGGGGAAAUAGGAGCUGGGAAACAAAGCUGUGGAUUUGCUUAGAAGCAACCCGUUUCUUCCUCAAAAUAAGUCGAUGCCUUAAUCAAGUAGUCAGGUGCUUAAGGAAUCACAGGGAAUGGAAGAGACAGCUUUCCAGGCUUGUUGAGAAGAGGGGGAGCUGAUUGCCCACAGGAUGCUGCUCAGUUGUGGCAGAAGACAAAGGGAAUGGGCUGGUGGCAGAAAAGAAACCCCUGCUGGAGCCAAGAGAUCUCUGCUGUGCCUUGUUCUAUGGAAGGGUCACUAGGCCGCUGUCUCUGUUGCUGCUAAAGCACCUUUACAGACAGGCUAAACCUGUAUGAGAGGGAGGCCAGACUGACAGCCUGCAGGCUCUGUGCCCUGGGGCAGAGACACAGGUUGGUAUCAGGAUGAAGUUGCUCAAGCUUUGGUGAAGUUGCUCAAGUUUUGACCCAGAUCCCAGCUGUCCAGGACAAUUCCUGACCUGUGGAGCUCUUGAAGGAGGAGCACAAGGCAGACAUGAGGAGGUAGGUGCAGCACCUCUCCAUUUUGUAUGUGAGGUUUUUGAGCAACACACUUGCCAAAGGUUUUGUGGGGAAUCUGCAGAGCCAGGAAUUUAUUAACCCCAUGCCCAUCUCUCAGGCUGGUGCCAGAAGCAGACAGGUAGUUUGCUAAAUGCUUCAGCCCAACUCCUGGAAAGUAUGCCUGCAUUCCCACUGAAACCAGCAAGUUCCCCAGUUUAGAAUGCAUUUAUUUUUAAACUGUACAGGCAGAGCCUACAUGUUUUGACAAAGUAGCGCCAGAGCAUUGAGUGCCUUGGAGAUUCUUAGCCCUUACUGACUGCUCGCUGAAAGCACUGCCUCAGCCUCCUGUGGACUCCCAGACAGUGCCUGAGAGAGUGCGUGGUGCCUUUCUCAGCCUGGCCUUGCCCUUUUUAGCUUAAAUCAAUAGCAAAGAUGAAGAUAGAGUGCAAAGGGAAAGAGUUCAGAAUGAACAGUGCUCACUAAAUAGACAACCCACAUGUGAAAUGUAGGAUUUUAAAUGCAAAUGCCUUCAUCUUGUCUUAUCAGAGCCAAUUGGUUUAGCCCCUGUGCUACACAGGUUGAGUUUAAAUGCUGUACGGAUAACUGAGCUGACACCAGUAUUUACAUGGGACAACUGAUGAUGCAGUGUUGUAGUUGGCUUCCAGGAAAGAUCUUACCCCGGGCAGAACAGAGUCAAUCUCCACCAAGGUUGUACUUUCUCAUCAUUAUUUCUCUCCUGUGUGAAGUGUAGGCAGUGGGCACCGAGCUUGGCACCACAGCACAGUGGAGCAGGAAGUAAUGGGGAUUUCCCUGAUAGCCCCAAGGUCACAGUAGUGAGCAUGCAGCAACUUGGGAAAAAGCAGCACACAGGAGAAUGUCAGAAGGUCCUGUCACCCUGGCUGUCCUGCAGCCUUGUUUGUAAGGUAAGGGAUGAGAACAUCUUGGUAACAACAUGCUUCAUCCCCCCUCCUUACAAUAAAGUUGAGGGGGUUUUCUGGGAAGGCUAACAGGUUGAAAGCAUUCCAGUUGCCACUGGUUGACUUAGCUCAGUGGAAGAAUAUGUGCCUGCCCAAAGGAGCUUUCUCCUUACCCUAAAUCAUGCAUUUCUUCCCUCUUCUGUCACAUCAGCAGACUUGCUCUUUCAACCUCCAGGGAACUGUUUUGUUUUUGCUUUCAAUAGGGUCAGUUUUCAGGCAAGUAAGUAGGCUGGUUUGACCCUGUAAAACUCCAUUCCCAAACUGUGGGAGUGAUGGAGACAACAAAAGCAAGGGGACAGGAGUUGUAGGGCAGACCCACCUCUUUUGGCAGUAACUCGGUUUUAGCUUUGAGUUUUAGUAAUUGUGAAAGUGCACGAAAAGCAGUCUUUUCUGUUUGGGAUGAAUGAAAGCCUUCCAGGUGUAAGCAUGGGGAAUUAAUUACAGCAUUCGCCCAGCCCAGUUCUUCUCCUGGAGUCUGACACGUGGCUGCCUCAUGUGAUGUCUCUUGGCACCGCAGAGACAUAGCAUCACCCACAGCUCUGGCAGCAGCUGCUGCUUUGAGCCUGUCAGCCUCCUCCACUGGCUGGAGUAGCAGUGAGUUUCUGCAGGUGCACGGCAUGCAUCGCCAUAGUCCCAGUGAAGCCACCGAGUGCGUGGAAGUCUAUGAAUGAGAGCAGCUAUCCAAUCAAGAAGGUAUUUUCUACACUGCAGGUUAAAUGGCCAUCUUUCCCUCAAGAGAUGUGUGUAUAAAAGACGUGGCUGGUUUUUACAGACAGUACUAUGAAGACGUCGGUCGUUUUGAGUUGCCCUUUGCACCGCAUCACUGUUCUGUGCUUUGGAAGUGGUUGCAGGGCUGGCUCAAGUUCUGUCGGCUGUGCCUGGGGUUAAAGCAGAUGCUUUGGCCCUCUGAACCCAGCCUGGCAAGAUGAGGGCAGGGAGGCAGGAUUUCCCCUCCGUUGUUUUCUUUGAGUUCCAGAGCUUCCAACGAGGCUGGGAGAGGGGAAGGGUGACCAAGGAUAUCUGAGCAUCUUCUCUGUAAGCAAGGCCAAUUAUACACACGGCAAUUACCUCAGUGUAAACAGCCCAUCGUACCGAGAUGGGGAGAGCCUUUUGAGCCUGGGGAGGGUGCUUUGAAGUGCUUCUGCUCAGAGAGUGUCCAUUAAUGCUGGGAAUUGCACCGGCCGCAGCCCUCGGCUGCGUUAAGAGGAGUUGGGCGGCGGUGCCUAUUGAGCUGGGCGGGAUGGCUGUUAGGUGCCCUCGGUAUGACAAAGCGGUCGUUAACAUUCCAGCAGCGAUGGGGCAGUAGCCAGUAGCAACGCUUGCCUGCCUCGGCCAGCCCUGCUUGCUGCCGCUAGCGGUGCCAUAAGGGCACUUCUCUCCUGUACGUGCUAGAAUUCCACUUUCCUAGCGGUAUCUGCACGAUUUCUCGCCUGUACUGUGGAAGAAUCUUAGCAAGUCACACCGAAGUUAAUAUAAAUUAUCCAUCUCUCAGCAGGGAGGAGGAUUAUGUCAAUUUCGGCUAAUAGCUGCCAAAUAAUAGACACACAGAUGCUCUUAAAUUGGUUUAAUUCCCGUUGGCUGGCCCUGACAAUUGGGAGCAAAGAUAAAUAUAUACAAAGCAUUCAAAGCUCGGGGUGUUAUGAUGCUAAUUGAAAAGUCACCAAAGGAAGCCCUCACGGUCUGUGGGAACCUCGGUGCACGGGAUUAGCGGCUAAUUAGCGGCUAGGAGCUGUCUCAUCCCGAGCACAGGCACCUCUGCCCAUGCAGUCAGUCCUUGCCCUUGAUACCAGCAAUAAAGAAACUGCUGUGGGCAGCAGGCAGUGUGAUGGUAGGAAGAUAACGUAGUAUUAGCAGUGUAACAAGUUCUCCCAUCAUGCACAGAAGCAAUGUCAGAAAUGCUUGCUGUGUCUUGGGCCACAGCAAACAUAAAGGCAUUUGAGGCCUGAGCUCUUCCCCUCCCCCCCCCCCCCUUUUUAACAAAUGCACAAGUCUUGUUAUGUGACUUUUUACCUCUUUCAUGUCAUGUUUGCAGCAGAGGACAGAACACAUUCUGGAGACCCCGAGCCUCAAACCCUGCUGUGGACUCUGCAGUGAGUGCACACAGGCAGUCGCAGCCCCUUCCUUGCACGGUGCUUUAGAAUCGUGACAUUUAAAAAACAUACAAUCCGUCUGUCAGCAUCCCAGUAUUUCCCUCUCAAGCUGUUCCCUGGUGGACAACUGAAGAAUCCGAGUUUUUCAAAUAACACACUUGUGUUAUGUGAACCCAAGGGCUCGGCCUGUGGAAAAAGAGAUUUGCAAAAUGGUACGAAUCAGUUGCAUCACUGGCACCGCUGAACUAAUCAGGGCUUUGUUUAAUGAGGGGUGCAUCUAUUUUGCUCAAUUACUUCCCGCUGGUGAGAAUCCUUCAUUUAUACUUUCAUUUGGGAAUGCUGGUUUUGGAACUCUCCGGAGUUACAUGUUUUCUUGUCCUCACAUUUGCUUUUUCAGAUCUGAAACAGCUGUAAACACAGCUUUAAACUGUUACACACCCUCACAAUUAAAUUAACCAGUAUUACACUUCACAAAGACACCAAGGAGCAAUAGCAGGGAGGUUCACUUGUGAGCUUUGGAGGAGCUAAAAAGCUUCUUUCCUGUGUUAACCAGCUCUGAGUAAUGCGGUUUUGCACAAGCUGGAGUCAGAAGUGGGUAAUGUGAGGAACCCAUGCUGGUAGGCAGUGACCUGCAGUGCGUGGGCUGGUGGCCUAAGUCAUCUCUUCUGGCAACCAGCAGAGGGGUGCUUGUAGCCUGGUUUCCUUAACCCUCCUGUUGACCAGCCCUCCAGACAGCUAACUCUCUUCUCCAGCUGCUGAGAAAUAGCUAAAUCGUAGAAUCAUUUAGGUUGGAAGAGACCACUGAGAUCAUCCAGUCCAACUGCCAACCCAUCCCCACCAUGCCCACUGACCAUGUCCUUCAGUGCCACAUCUCCACAGUUCUUCAACACUUUCAGGGACGGUGACUCCACCACCUCCCUGGGCAGCCUCUGCCAAUGCCUCACAACUCCUGAGAUGAAAUUUGUCUUUAUAUCCAAUUCCCCACCCCCCAGUACAACUUAAGGCCAUUACCUCUUGUCCUGUCACUAUUACAUGGGAGAAGAGGCCGACCCUCACAGUCAUCCACAGUGAGAGCUAACAAACAAAGAGGACCAUCCUUCAUAUAGCAGCUAUGUUGUAGAAGUGAUGAUCUGGGAAGAGGGUAGGGAAAAGUGAACAGACUUUUAGGCAUAGAAGUUCUUCUACAGAUCUGAAAGAAACCUCAGACUUCAAGCUAUUUUGCCCCCUCACAAAAUCCUGUAGAAAAAAGAGAUAACAGCCCCAUACAACCACCUCUGCUGUAGAUAAGCUGCCCAGCUGGCUGGGCAGCCCAAAGAACCCAGCUGCUCCAGGAGUCUUAAUAGCUUUUGUGGAGCAACAGAUUCCUGAAAUGAUGCUCACCGUUCAGUAUGUUUGUCAGAACUGGAAUGAGAUACACAGGAAUAAUAUUUUUCGGCCAAGGUAUUUCUAACUGGUUCUCGGUGGGUAUUAGUAAUAAUACAGCUGUCAGCUUUCGCAGUGUUUUUUAAGCAGAAGUGCUUUGUAUCUUUCAAGGUGUCUUCCCUUUUAUCUUAAGCAAAAUACCUGUGGGAACCAUUAGUAAUGGUUUCUGGUACUGCUGGACAAUAGUAGUGUGAAGAUACAGAGUGCAGCAACCCAUGCAGCAUAGGAACCCAGUGACAGGCUGGAAGGCACUCUGUGCCAGAGCGUGGCAAGGAGCGAGCAGCAGAUCAGACAGCUGCUUAAUCCCUCUGUGAGUUGAAAAGAGGGAGGAGACGCAAAUCAAGAAGAAGGAGAGGACCGUAGAGAAGAAACUGCAGAGGAAUUCCUGAUUUCUAUAGGAAUCUCUGCAUGACACACUGGGUCUGUGGGAGCCCAGAGCUCAGCUCAGCCCCUCAAAACCUGGUACCACAGCUGUAACUCUCAGGAUCUCUUCUGAGCAAAUCUCGUGCCAUUUAGGGAAGGUGCUGGGCUGAGCUGAAGCUGUGCAAGUACAGCUGUUCUCAUAUCAGCUAAGAAAAAGUAAAAAUCAGUUUAAAGCAUUAGCCUGUUCCAAAAAAAAAAAAAAACAGUGCUAAACCUCAUUCUAGAGCUACUGUUAAGUUGAAAUAUAUAUAUUUAAGUGCUCCUUCAAAUAAAGCCUAAAAACCCAUUUGCUUUUCCAGUGGUCUAAUGACUGCUUUUGCCAGGUUACUUCCAACAUAGAAUUCACCUACAGUCUAAAGCGAUGCCUGGGAGAUCCAAGCAUUCUGGUAUGACUGGGAUAAAGCUGAGGUGAGAGGCAGGUCAGAAUCGGGUGUACCAUGGAGGUAUCUGCAGCCUUUGUGGGGAAAGAUUACCAUCUUGGUGGGGAGAUCGUGUUUCUGUUAUUACCAGUAACAACUGGUUUCUACUAUCUACUCUCCCCUCUUUGUUGUCCGGUAGGCCCUGACAACUGAGGGACUCAAUGCAGCACGCAGGUGAGGCUGAGGCUGGGCUCAGAAGUGCCGUCAGAUGGUGUCACGCACGUGGGGAUGUGUGGUAGCACGGCCCCGGUCGCAGAGAGCCUGCAGUCCGAGCCAGGAGCCUGCAAGAGGGCAGCACGGAAAAGCAGUGACACCUGUGCUGUUUUUAAUGGGAUUUGUAGCUGUGGGGUUUCGACAGAACCCACUUUUUCUUUCAGUGCAUUCUGACGUGGAAGUAUGUGAAAUGUAUUACCACAAGAGCAGGCUGUCUUGUGAGUGCUUCUGCGGGGCAAUGUCUUUUCUGCAGAGCUAGCCAUGGGGACCGAGCUUUAGCUGGGAGCAGCUUGGUCGGCGCCAUUUUCCCUCUGUGGCCUGUGCAGGAAGCUAACACCAGCCGACUUUGCACACUGUGGGACCGUAACAGGCUGCUGCCUGCGCCCGGGAGCGCAGACCCUCCUGCUGCACUCGGCAGAGCAAGUCUGAACUGGGUGCAUGGAGCAGGAAAUGCCAGUUCACAGCCCUCCCACGUGGCUCCAGGCUGCGUGCACAAUGACUUUUCCAGCCCCCCAGACUCUGUACACAUGAAUCCCUUCACCGUCCAGACGCCGUUUUGGGAUUGGCACAGCAUUCUGUGAUCUUGGAAGGCCGCUCAUGUGGUGUGGGAGCCAUCGCACACGCCUCUUGCAUUGGGUGCCUGCUGUGCUCCGCUGCAGGUGUUUCAUACUUGACAAGCAAGUCAUUGUGAGACUGGAGAAGCCACAUCCUUCUUCCUGGUCUCUGUAGUUCCACCUGCAGAGUUAGAGUAGUGUGUUCCAUCUUCCUAACCAAAGGAGACACAGAUGGAGUGUGAACACAAGGAAUUUAAUCUUUUCAUUUGGUUACUGCUGCUCUCUGCUAUAUCAGCACAGCCGCCAGAGCUGUUGUAAACAUUUGAAGAGUGGCGUCAAUUAAAGGUGACUCAGGAACAAAUGUGAUAUGAAGAAUUUGGAAGGGUUGGAAGAACAGCCAGUGUGCCAAAUGCUUUUCUAAAUGGACAACUAGAGGGAUGAAGAAGAGGGUGGUUUGGGAGUCACCCUUCCCACUUCAGCUGUGCGGUUAUGGUGACUACAUGUCCUGUUUGGAAGCACACAGUGACUCGGAGGGCCAUCAUCCCACCAGUGCAUGAAGCUUGCAGUGAGUCAGCCCCUGUAUGUUACAAGGCAGGAUGGCUCCAGCUGCUAUUCAGGCUCUGUACAGUUUGACACUACUUCAGGGCGGAUAUGGGGACUCCAGAGAAUAUGGCAAGGGCUGUGUUGCUCACAGGUAACUGCCAGUAAGGAGCCCACCAGGUAAAGUGGAUCAGAGAUGGCAUCCAUAAUAGUCUCUCACCCCAGCAAAGCAUAUUCUAGAAGAGCGGUGUUGAAAAAGGACCAACUCAAAGAAAUUCACCACCACAGGUUAUUCCCAGGCAGCACUACCCUACGCGAGAAGUAACAAAACACAUGACCUUACUCUCUGUGAAGUGUUUGUGGAGCUUUUGUCACCAUAGCACCGAGUCACCAAAUACAGAAAGGUCCCUCCCGUGAUUCAUAACUGAACCCACAGUGGCUGCUGCUAUUUUCUGCAGUCCUUCUCACCCUGCCAGUGGAUGGCAGCUGAGUGGAGCAGUGCUGAGCACUCGCCGGCCUCUCUCUCUUCCCAGUGCCUUGCAAACAACUCCCAGUUCUCAGCAGCUUUUUGAGCUGUUCUGGGCACCUGAGGAGAGCAGGUGGUUCUGCGGUCAUUUCAUACAACCACAGGUCUGGUCAGAGUAAGGACACGAAGUGAUCUGCACUAUAGGACCUUGGGCAGAGUUGGCCAUCACCAGACUUCAGCUCUUUGUGAAGGAGUUUUCUGACAUAGUUAUCAGUCUGAGACUUACAGAUUAAGAAUUUUAUAGCCAAAAUACUUCUGCUACGCGUGACAGUGACAAUAGAUAACAAUACAAUAUUUGUCCAAUCGGUUUUCAUAUUUUUGGACACGAGUCGCGUUUUUUACCUUCCGAUGCUGGACUGCUCUGAGAUCCCAAUGUUAUUGGAGGUCUUUUCCAACCUUAAUGAUUCUGUGACUACAUUUUCCCACAUCACUAGUGAUAGGACAAGAAGGAAUGGCCUCAAGUUGUGCCAGGGGAGGUUCAGGUUGGAUAUUAGGAAAAAAUUAUUCUCUGAAAGAGUGGUCAGGCAUUGAAACGGGCUCCCAGGGGCGGUGGGGAAGUCACUGUCCUUGGAGUUGUUCGAGAAGCAUUUAGAUGUUGUACUAAGGGACGUUGCUUAGUGGAGAAAAUAUUGGUGGUAGGUGGACGGUUGGACUGGAUGAUCUUAGAGAUCUUUUCCAACCUUGGUGAUUCUGUGAUUACUGGAGGGGGAACAAGCUACCACGGACUGUAUCUGCAGGAGAAUCGCUUCCUAGAUGUAAUCUGAACCGUGAAUGGCAUUUCAUUUGGCAGAACUAGAUAUUUUGGGUGGGACGCGAAACUGGAGAAGUGGGAUGGCAGAAGUGGGUGUGUUAGUACAAAGUUGGUAGAGGUCUGGGAGCUCUUCAGCAGGAGGUGGUGGCUGGGCAGCAAGAUCUGCAGGCAUGGCAGUGAGAAACCCACCAAUGGACACUGAAAAAAGGCACCUCCAGGCAGAGGAGGUGCAGAGGCUGCUGCAGAACGGGUGAUGGGACCUGUGGGCAUGGCCUCAUGGCGGCAGGCUCAUGGGGAUUGGGAACGGCCCCCGAGGAGACUGAGAGCACAGGAAGUCAGCCUUAGGGGGAGUCCUGGGUCUGCACAGUGCAGAGAGCGGAGGAGGUAUUCCUCAAAGAAGUGACUACCACGAAGCAAACAGAACAAUCUCAAUUAAAGGGCAGUAGUAGCACAGGACAAUACCAACCUUAACAUAUUCCAGGUGGUAAAGAAUAGAUGGCCUCCAACCAGGAGAGGAGCAAGUUACUGGAAGAGAUCCCUGGGAGGAGCAGUGGGAAUGGGAGUGUGGGUGCUUGAGAUGCAGCAUGGAGGGGAGGCCCUGUCGGCACUGCCUGGAGCACAGUGGGUACAUGAGCCCUCCAGGAGCACCUGCUUGAGCAGCUUCUGUUUUGGCAGCUCCCAGCUGUCAGAACCACCACUCUUUCAGAGCACUUGGGGAGUGUGACAGCAGGUCUUCCGCAGCAUCAGUUGUUUUAUUUCUGUGAAUAAGGUGAUUCAUGUAGGCCUAAUUAUGUACUGGCAACAGUAGUAGAAAACCUUGAGUACUGUGUUCAGUUUGGGAUGCCUCGCUACAAGAAGGACAACAAGGACCUGGAAUGUAUCCUCAGAAGGUCAACAAAGCUGUGAGGGGUUUGGACCACAAGUCUUAUGAGGAGCAACUGAGGGAACUGGGAUUGUUCAGAAGAGGAGGCUCAGGGAAGACCUUACUGUACUCUACAACUGCCAAAAGAAGGUUGUGGUGAAGGGGCGGUCAGCCUCUUCUCCAGAGUAACAGGGAUAGGAUGAGAGGUGAUGGCCUCACGCUGCGCCGGGGGAGGUUCACGUUGGAUAUUAGUAAACAGUUCUUCUCAGGAAAAGAGGUAGUGCAUUAGCACAGGCUGCCCAGGGAGUGGUGGAGUCACCAUCCCUGGAGGUGUUCAAGGGAUGUGUACAUGUGGCACUGAGGGAUGUGGUCAGUGGGCAGUAUUGGUGAUAGGAGGACGGUUGGACUGGAUGAUCUUAGAGGUCUUUGGCAACCUGAAUGAUUCUAUAAUUCUAUGAUUCUAUGAAAAGAGAAACAGAAGAGAGAAGCUAUCUGUGUUUAACAAAACCAAUACACUGCCACCAGUGAUUAAAUGCUGACACGCUGAACGUGUCUCACCCAAGGCUUGUAGGGACAAAGCAAACAGUGUGCUGUUUGUCUGCAGCCCAGCAAUCGAUGGCAAGCGUUUGUGGGAAAUAAACCAAUAAACCAGCACCCUGGCUCAGUGUAUUCCUUCCUUGCCAGGAAUAACAGGGGUUAUAGGGGA